AACGCACGAGACCUGCGGACCUGCGGAAGGAUCAUUACCGAAUGGCCUCUGGGCCUUCACAAACCCCAUCAAACCUGUGGACCUCUCAGAGAGAGCGUGCUUCGGCGUCCCCUCGGCUCUGCCCGAGGGACGCCGCCUUCAUGCAGAUAGAUCGUCUUGUCUGAUUUUGAAACCAUGAGAAUUUAAAACUUUCAACAAUGGAUCUCU
rnacentral:misc_RNA from 1 species